GCCUUGGGCCCCCAGAGUGUCUUGAAACAGCCCUGAUCUGGUGUCAAACAUGUUCAAAUGAAUAUGUCACUGCUCCACGUGCACAGAAUGUCUCACCUGUUUUAAAACGCUGCGUGUUCAUACACAUAAUCAGAAAACAGAAUCAUUUUCCAGUUUUUCAUUUGAAGUUUUUUUUUGGAUAGAUGGUGGUCAGUGAAGGACACACAAGAGAGGAGACAUGAGGGAGAGGAAAUCCAACAAAGAUCUUAAACUACAUGUUAAACAUGUUACAGACUCUCUUCUUCACACCUGCCUCACAUCAUCAGGGCAGGACCAGACGGACCAAGACCACAAGUAAAAAAGAAAUUAUCAACAACAAGUGUUUACAGAAACAAAUGUAAUUUAACUAUAUUAUUAUAUCUUAUGUAUAUUUUGUCUUGUUGAAUUAUAGUCUGUUACCAGCUGGUAGGAAAUUACGUUAAUCUAGAUUUUACCUAAAACCACACAGACACAGUUUAGAACAUUGAUUCAGGUUUCAAUACCUGCAUGUGAAAUAUGUACAGUUAAAGGUUAUCGUCUCCUUGAGUCAUUGUAACUCUCUAAAUAUUCAGGGGCCGUAUUCACAAACAUUCCUUGUAUGAAGAGUUUUUCCUCGUUACGAAAUUCUAAGCAAAUUCUUAGAAGAUUGAUAAUUUCUGAGAAUUUCCCCGUAAAGUUAAGAAAUAAAAGUUAUUCACAGAGCGUCUCACACCUUAAAACAGGUGCUCAGAUGAAACCAGUCGGAGCAGGAGGAGGAGUUUAACAGUUUCUGAAUCAGAGGAGAAAAUGGUGGAAACACAAACAGGUCAGACAAAUAUUCCGCAAGCACUGGACGACAGAGAAGAAAUUAAAUAAUACAGAUUAGAUGGUGCAGGAACAAUAUGUGUGGAUGAUGUCAUCAGGGAUACACACAUGUCACACCCAAUACUAUAACACCAGAAACAAAAUGAUGACAUCACUGAGAUAAACAAUAAAAACCCAGCAGUGAUGAGCUGAGUCUGUCUCAGUCCGCAGUUCAUCUCAUGUCCACUGGGUGUCCUCACACCUUACAGCCUCACAGAGAGCCGUGUCUCUGACAACCAAUCACAUCACAGCUUACAACAGGGUCGACCACACCUCCUCACUGAGGUCACAGUUUCUGUCCCUCUGAGAACUUUCCUUAAUCACUCCUAAGACUCCUUACUGAAAGUCUUUGAGCUAAGUGAGGAGCAUUCUGAGAGCGCUCUCACAAAUGUUUCUUUUUUCUUUUUUAAAGAUAUUUUUUAGAGGCAUUUUUGUCUUUAAUUGAUAUCAAGGCCCAGAGCGAAGGAGAGAGAGAGAGAAUGACAUGCAGCAAAGGGCCACAGGCUGGAGUCGACCCGGGUUGCUGCGGCAACAGCCCUGUACAUGGGGCGCCCCCUCCAUCCACCAAGCCACCAACGCCCCCUCAAAACUGUUUCUGAGGCAUCUGUGAGUGAAUCUACAGCCCUGGUUAUAAUAAGAUGUGUGGUGAAAAUAUAAAAAGAUAUGAGAUAAGAUAAAAUAACAUAAAAGCAUUAAUAAAACAGUAACUUCAAAAUCAGGAAAUGAAAACUUUGGUUAUAUUUGUUGAGAAAUUAAAAUUCAAUAGAAAAGAUGUAUAAAUAAAUGAAUCAGCUGACUGAACUGUGGAGGUUCUCUGAGGCUACACCCUCCCCUUAAAUGGGUUGGUCGCCCUACAGGCAGAAGGCAUCGCCAGCCAUAGAAGAAAGGAGAGGUGAUGUCCGAGCCUCAGAGAGGUCCCUGAAGGCAGCGCCGGCUGUAGUAGAAAGGGGCUGAAAUGUCCGAUUCUCAUAGAGAUCCCUGAAGGCAGCAGGCGGUGAUCGUUGAGCUCCCGGGAGACUCCAUGGAGAGGGAAUAGGACUUGAGAGCGGAUCAUGGCGGCGCCUCUCGGCCGGGACACGUUACCUGAACACUGGUCUUACGGUGUGUGUACAGACGGCAGGGUUUUCUUCAUCAGCGAUGAGUCCCGGAACACCACCUGGCUCCAUCCCCGCUCCGGUGAACCGGUAAACUCCGGACACAUGAUCCGCUCAGACUUACCCCGAGGAUGGGAGGAGGGCUUCACGGACGAAGGAGCCAGUUACUUCAUAAAUCAUAACCAGAAGACCACCACGUUUCGCCAUCCUGUGACGGGACAGAUUUCUCCAGAGAACAUGGACUUUAUCCUGCAGGAACAGCCGCAGGGUGCGUCCAUGAUGUCCAAACCUGAGCAGCUGUCCAGCACCACUGUCAGCGAGGCGUCCACGGCCAUCACAUCGUCCACUGUGGACACCACCACGGCCUCCAAGGGCUCUCGGUCCAGUGGGAGGUUGCACAGCUUUGGGAAGAGAGAACAGGCCAUUAAAAGGAACCCUAACGUCCCGGUGGUGGUUCGAGGAUGGCUCUACAAACAGGACAGCUCUGGGAUGCGUCUCUGGAAGAGGAAGUGGUUCGUCCUGGCUGAUUUCUGUCUGUUUUAUUACAAAGACAGCAGAGAGGAGUCGGUCCUCGGCAGUAUUCCUCUGCCCAGCUAUGUCAUUUCAGCCGUGGGACCAGAGGACCACAUCAGCCGAAAGUUUGCCUUCAAGGCUAGCCACACUGGUAUGCGCUCGUACAUUUACAAGCAGAGCUCUGUGAUUGGCUCGCAGGCGGAGCACAGUGGGAUGAGGACGUAUUACUUCAGUGCCGACACCCAGGAGGACAUGAACACCUGGCUGAGGGCCAUGAACCAGGCCACACUGAUGGAGAACCACACACACACGCUCAUCAGACCAUCUGAUAAGUUGGAGACAUUCAACAUGUUGCAGCAGCAGGCCGUCCCUCAGUCCAACCACAUCAAUCACCACAAGACCUCCGACUGCGACGCCAUGAAGCCCAUCAUCCACGAGGUCCUCCUGGAGCCCAUCCACCACGACACAGACGAACGCUGCAGCUUCCACAAAGACUCUCCUGCCACCGCCACACUGGAGCGCCCUAUAGGCAGUACCACCCUGGAAAUGGACACACACACAUCCCUCCCCUCCAACCCUGCAUCCUCCGCCCUCCCGCAGUUAGACCACGUGUCAGCCUCAGCGCCCGUAUCCAGGGUUCCCUCCCGGGCGCCAUCACGAGCUGCCUCCACUCUCCCCUCCAGCGUCUGUACAAGGAACGGCCUCAUGUCCACGCCCAGCCCCAUCCUUGAGCCCAAUGGCAUUGCAGCAGGGACGUACCAGAGGGCGCCGGCCCCACCCCCUGCUGACACACACAAACAGGUGCACAGGAGAAGCGCUCUGGAGCAGGUGGAGCAGUGGGUCAAAGUGCAGAAGACGGAGCACAAAGGCCCGUCAUCCAGAGAGAACACUCUCCCUAGACGCACGCCACCGACCCAGCACAAGUUCACCUCUGUAGAUGCAUAUCAGACCUUGCCAAAGACUCCUCGCCAGAGCCCCACACCCGCCCGACUUGGCGAGUACAAGUACGCCCAGGACCGCCUCAGCCACUUCCGCCUCACCCCCGACCCGGGGCCCAACACCGUGUGGCAACUGUACGAGUGGCAGCAGCGCCACCAGUUCCGUCACGGCAGCCCCACGGCGCCGCUGUACACUCCGGCCCCGGACUACCCAUUUGGCCCCCGCCCCCAGUCCACCGUGCCUCCCUCCUCGUCAUUAACCCGGUCUGAAGGAGCGUCCCGCUGUGUGUCAGUCCCACCUUCAGCUGCAGACAUCCCUCCACCCGGGCCUCCACCCGGCAGCAGCAGAACCCUGUCGCCCACACGGAGGCCGCACACGCCAGCGGAGAGGGUGACCGUCAGGCCGGUGGAUGAUAGGUCAGUGAUGGACAUGCCCUUCACCAUGUCCCCCCGCAGGACCAAGUCUCAGCUGCUCAAGGCUGCUACUAUCGAGAGACGGUCAAUGCCUGCGUCUGGUUACAUCACACACACAGUCAGUGCUCCCAGCCUCCACGGGAAAACGGCUGAUGACACCUACAUGCAGCUGAAGAAGGACCUGGAGUACCUGGACCUGAAGGUCGCAGGAAGUCAGACGCUGAAGGAUUCUGGGAAACCUGUCAAGGUGGCAGAAAGUGAUGUGGACGUGAAACUAAGUCGGCUGUGUGAGCAGGACAAGAUCCUCAAAGAUCUGGAGGCCAGGAUCAGCUCCCUGAAGGAGGACAAGGACAAGUUGGAGAGUGUGUUGGACGUGUCCCACCAGCAGAUGGAGCAGUACCAGGAGCAGCCAGCCCACGUCCACAAGAUCGCCUACCAACAGAGACUGCUGCAGGAGGACCUGGUCACCAUCAGGGCCCAGAUAUCACGUCUGUCCACGGAGAUGGCUCAGGCGUGGGAGGAGUACAUCCAGCUGGAGAGAUCAGUGGAGCAGUUGAGGACGGCACUGCAGGCACACAUGAACCACAGCGCCACCCCUCAGCAGGAGAAGGCUGAGAUGAAGCGCGAGCUGUGGAGGAUCGAGGACGUGAUUGGAGGACUGAGCGCCAGCAAAGCCAACUACAAGAUCACCAUCGACUCUGUCCAGAACCCAGAGAGGAAACUAGUGCCUUCAGUGUCGGAGCUGGCAGUGCCUUGUCUCAGCACAGAGGUGCAGCCUCCUCCUCGCAGCUCCGUCCCCAGCAUCCUGUCCCAGACGCUGCCUCACAGCUCCGUGCCAAACUGGGCCGAGGACACCGCCCCACCCAGGCCACCACUGCCUCGCCUCUAUGACUACGAGGAGACGCCCCCUGUGGUGCCGCCUCUCCCUAAAGAGGCCUCGGUCAUCCGCCACACAUCGGUACGUGGGCUGAAACGCCAAUCAGAUGAGAGGAAGAGGGACAGGGAGAGCGGACAGUAUGUCAUCAACGGAGACUGUAAGACUGACCUGCGUUCAUACCUGAGUGAACCGGAGCUGCCGGGACUGAGUCACCACAGCAUCACGACUGACGCUGAGUAUCAGUAUUUCCAGAGUAAAGGACCGACGUCUCGACUGAACCAGUCCAACUCCAUCGUGUCCUACGUCACUCUGAGACGAGGCCCCGGGAGCUCUGCCUCCAAGGAGAGACCUAAGAGUGCCUUGGAGCGCCUGUCGUCUCCUACGGAAGCCCCGCAGCUCCCGAGCAUCCAGCCUCGAGGACGGAUGACGGCUGAGGAGCAGCUGGAGCGGAUGAAGCGCCACCAGAAGGCACUCGUUCGCGAGCGCAAGAGGAACCUCAGCCAGGGCGAACGCUCGUGCACAGGCCUGUCCACCUCCACCGUCAGCACCCAACGCUCCUCGUCCUCCUCCAGGCUGCCCUCCAGCACCUCCGACGCGCCGGCCUCCGUACGUUACCCCCAACCCCCGCGCAGCAGCAGCAGACACAGGGAGCACCACCUUCACCACUGCUGCUACGCCCCCCUCCAGCCCCCAGCCACAUAAUAACUCAGCAGGAAGGCUAACACGUUAGCUCGCUCUGCCUUGUUGACAUUAGCACUAACAUGCUAGAUGGGCGGGGCUUACAGUGGCUGGGUGGUUACGUUGGUUCAUGCUUUAAGAACAAUGAGAGAGCACAGGGAACAGAUACUCGGCUCGUGUUGGACAGGCGCUCCUUCUUUAUUUAAUAUUAUUAAAGGUUCAAAGUGAACCUGGUUACCACAUGCUGCCCCCUGGUGGGACCUCACUGACACAAUUCUGAAUGUAAUGCCACUGAGAGGAAGAGGAGACAAUGUGUCAGCAGGAAGUAGACAGAAGAGCCCGUCUCUGUACAUCACACACCUUUAUUUAUUUACUGAGGGAUAUUUUCAGAACACAGCUGUACAGGUAUAUUUUGUAGAGAUUUGGUAUCAAGAGAAUUUAGAGGAGCAAAGGAACGGCGAGAAGUGACAGAGUCGAGUAUUCAGGUUGAUGAGAUGAAGAAAGAGGCGACACAUGUGGCACAAAUCAUGAUCACACCUCCCUGCUUUCUUUUCUUCACGUCUAAUCCAAGUGCCUUGUUUUACUGCCUUUGUCCCAAAUUUACCUCCUUAAUCAACAUUUGAAUUAACGAGUGUGAAGCAGAGUCUCCACCUCAGAGACAAUGAAGGUUGGUUCUCUGUGUGACAUCAGAGCUCAGUCAGGACGAUGUGGAGACUCUGCUGGUCUGAGGGAACACUUUGACAUUCACACUGGAUCCAGUUUGUACUUCCUGGUGUCGUCUGGGUUCAGUGAGGAAUGCUAACAAUGCUAACAACACUCUAAAAUGUCAAAGUAUUCCUUUAAGAUAACGAGACAGUAAUAAUGACCUGAUUGGUGGAUUGAUUAUAGACUAACACAUUGUAACCAGACUGCUGUGAGAGCUGCCUGUAAUCUGACUACAUUUCCCACAAGUCCCUGUAACAGUGAGCAAUACACAGUCUGUGAUCCUCUGGUACGUCUUCAGACCAGAGCGUCUUUAUUUCCUCUGUUCCACCAGCAUCAGACAUGUUUACACUGAUUUAGAUCAUCAUCAUCAUCAUCAUAAAUCAGUCUUUCUCCUGUUCAGUUUAUUUUAUCCUCUGACAGAGGUUCAUCACCACAUUACCACGGUUACAGUGAGGAGAGUCUGUCAUCAGAGUACUCUAUCAGAGUACAGUUGAAGUGGCCUACGCUGAGCUGUUUUAUGCAUCAUUGAUAUAUAGGACAGGUUCAGGCUCCGCGGCCCACAUGCAAUAAAAACAACGAGGCUGAACGAGGAGCGACGGCGUCAUCACCGAAAAUCUGUUCGACAGGUUAAAGCUCCAGUGUGGAGGAUUUUAACUAGUGUUUUCUUUAAUCAGCCUAAAUAAGAAUUGAUUGAGUCGUUUAUGUCGACACAGGGAGCAGGUCCUUGUCUACGAGGUCACCAUGUUGCACCGCCAUGUUUCUACAGUAGCCCAGAACGGACAAACCAAACAUUGACAUUGAGGUUUCUACCGUUUUUUUCCCUGUUAAAGGGUUUUUUUUGGGGAGUUUUUCCUGAUCAGCUGUGAGGGUCCUGAGGACAGAGGGAUGUCGUAUGCUGUAAAGCCCUGAGGCAAAUUGUGAUUUGUGAUAUUGGGCUUUAUAAAUAAAACUGAUUGAUUGAUUGAGAUAGAGACAUUCAUGUGUUCAUGUCAGACACUGUAGUUGGCAUCAACUCUGCAAAGAGCAACGUCAGAGAAACACAGAUUUAUUUAACCAUCUUUAUUCAUUUAGAUAAAUCAGCUGCACUGUUUGUUCUGUUUCAUAGACGUUUCACCUCUCACUGUCCUCAGUUCAUCUGAAGACUAACACUGAUUUAUAACCUGACCCUGUGUGUUCAGAGUGUUUCCUGGUGUCAAUCAGCUGGUGUGUUUGUUUCUGAGAGGAAGAGACCUCUGUGGAUAAUUCAGCUCCUCAACAAUCAACACUGAAUGAAUUCUAACCAGGAGAAGUUUCAGAUGGUUGUAAUCUGUAAUCUGUAAUCUGUAAUCCUCACUGAUAGACGGCACUGAAUCCCUUACACUGCUCCUUAAAGAGAUUUAUUCUGAUCAUUGUUUCAUCAGCAUCUCUGAAGACAGUGAAAAAUAAUAAACACUUCCUCCAAGUUUCCUUCUUUAUAUGAAUGAGUUUAUCAGACCAACAGUUCAGAGCCUGGUGUUGUUACGGUGUCUCCAACAGUUCAGAGCCUGGUGUAGGUACGGUGUCUCCAACAGUUCAGAGCCUGGUGUUGUUACGGUGUCUUCAACAGCUCAGAGCCUGGUGUAGGUACAGUGUCUCCAACAGUUCAGAGCCUGGUGUAGGUACGGUGUCUCCAACAGUUCAGAGCCUGGUGUAGGUACGGUGUCUUCAACAGUUCAGAGCCUGGUGUUGUUACGGUGUCUCCAACAGCUCAGAGCCUGGUGUAGGUACGGUGUCUCCAACAGUUCAGAGCCUGGUGUAGGUACGGUGUCUUCAACAGUUCAGAGCCUGGUGUUGUUACGGUGUCUCCAACAGCUCAGAGCCUGGUGUAGGUACGGUGUCUCCAACAGUUCAGAGCCUGGUGUAGGUACGGUGUCUCCAACAGUUCAGAGCCUGGUGUAGGUACGGUGUCUUCAACAGUUCAGAGCCUGAUGUUGUUACGGUGUCUCCAACAGUUCAGAGCCUGGUGUAGGUACGGUGUCUCCAACAGUUCAGAGCCUGGUGUUGUUACGGUGUCUCCAACAGCUCAGAGCCUGGUGUAAGUACAGUGUCUCCAACAGUUCAGAGCCUGGUGUAAGUACAGUGUCUCCAACAGUUCAGAUCCUGGUGUAGGUACAGUGUCUCCAACAGUUCAGAGCCUGGUGUUGUUACGGUGUCUCCAACAGCUCAGAGCCUGGUGUAAGUACAGUGUCUCCAACAGUUCAGAGCCUGGUGUAAGUACAGUGUCUCCAACAGUUCAGAUCCUGGUGUAGGUACAGUGUCUCCAACAGUUCAGAGCCUGGUGUUGUUACGGUGUCUCCAACAGCUCAGAGCCUGGUGUAGGUACAGUGUCUCCAACAGCUCAGAGCCUGGUGUUGUUACGGUGUCUCCAACAGCUCAGAGCCUGGUGUAGGUACAGUGUCUCCAACAGUUCAGAUCCUGGUGUAGGUACAGUGUCUCUAACAGUUCAGAUCCUGGUGUAGGUACAGUGUCUCUAACAGUUCAGAGCCUGGUGUAAGUACAGUGUCUCCAACAGUUCAGAGCCUGGUGUAAGUACAGUGUCUCCAACAGUUCAGAUCCUGGUGUAGGUACAGUGUCUCUAACAGUUCAGAGCCUGGUGUUGUUACAGUGUUUCGGUGGCGCCGCUGUCCGCUCCUCGUUUGUCUCUCACACAUUAAUGUUGAAGCUCUUCUGCAUCGUUGCUUUAAUCCCUCUCAGCUCAGUACGAUAUAUAUCAGCUCACAGAGACAGUAGAAUCAGCAGGUGAAGAGUAGAACACAGUAGAGACCUUAGAGAGGUGACCUGAUAAUCACCAUCUAAUCACCUGUGGUAGAAAGAAGCAAUGCACAAACUCUGUCCUCCAUUUUCUUUUCUAUCAUGUAGAAGUUUGCACUGGACAAUAAAGAGUUUCUGGCUUCUCAACUUCCUGUGGGCUGUGUCCUUCCUAAUCUGUCCCCUCUGGGUCUGUCUGUCUCCUCUGUGUCCAUCUGUCUCCUCAGGGUCUGUCUGUCCCCUCUGGGUCUGUCUGUGAGUCUGUCCUCUCUGGGUUUGUCUGUGUGUCUGUCCUCUCUGGGUCUGUCUGUCCCCUCUGUGUCCGUCUGUCCUCUCUGGGUCUGUCUGUGUGUCUGUCCUCUCUGGGUCUGUCUGUCCCCUCUGUGUCCAUCUGUCCCCUCUGGGUCCGUCUGUCCCCUCUGGGUCUGUCUGUCUGUCCUCUCUGGGUCUGUCUGUCCUCUCUGGGUCUGUCUGUCCUCUCUGGGUCCGUCUGUCCCCUCUGCGUCUGUCUGUCUGUCCUCUCUGGGUCUGUCUAUCCCCUCUGCGUCUGUCUGUCUGUCUAUCCUGAGCACUACAUGGGGACGUUUCCUCUCGGAUCAGAGCUGCACGCUGCUGGAGCGGGGAGGAUGCA